CACACAUUCCCUGUUUUGUCCCGUUUGCGCUGCUCUGGAAUUCCCUACUUCAUUUCCUCAUACUCUUGUGAGGGAUCCAAGGUUGGGCCAGGAAUCAUCACCGUCUUAACAAUGGGGUCCUUUGGUGGAGCCCACUCUGGGACGAUCUUGCCGUGCAUCCUCCACGUGCCAUACGGGUUGACCAAGUACCUCUCAAACACCACAUAUUCCAGGACAUCCUUGGGCAGCUUUUCCCCGCCGUACAUCA
rnacentral:lncRNA from 1 species